rnacentral:rRNA from 1 species
UACGUAGGGUGCAAGCGUUGUCCGGAAUUAUUGGGCGUAAAGAGCUCGUAGGCGGCUUGUCACGUCUGCUGUGAAAACUCGGGGCUCAACCCCGAGCCUGCAGUGGAUACGGGCUAGCUAGAGUGCGGUAGGGGAGACUGGAAUUCCUGGUGUAGCGGUGAAGUGCGCAGAUAUCAGGAGGAACACCGGUGGCGAAGGCGGGUCUCUGGGCCGAUACUGACGCUGAGGAGCGAAAGCGUGGGGAGCGAACAGG